UACGAAGGGGGCUAGCGUUGUUCGGAUUUACUGGGCGUAAAGCGCACGUAGGCGGCUUGGUAUGUCGGGUGUGAAAUCCCCGGGCUCAACCUGGGAAUGGCGAUGGAGACUGCAAGGCUAGAGUUUGGCAGAGGGGGGUAGAAUUCCACGUGUAGCAGUGAAAUGCGUAGAUAUGUGGAGGAACACCGAUGGCGAAGGCAGCCCCCUGGGUCAAAACUGACGCUCAUGCACGAAAGCGUGGGGAGCAAACAGG
rnacentral:rRNA from 1 species